UACGUAGGGUGCAAGCGUUAAUCGGAAUUACUGGGCGUAAAGCGUGCGCAGGCGGUUAUGCAAGACAGAUGUGAAAUCCCCGGGCUCAACCUGGGAACUGCGUUUGUGACUGCAUGGCUAGAGUACGGUAGAGGGGGAUGGAAUUCCGCGUGUAGCAGUGAAAUGCGUAGAUAUGCGGAGGAACACCGAUGGCGAAGGCAAUCCCCUGGACCUGUACUGACGCUCAUGCACGAAAGCGUGGGGAGCAAACAGG
rnacentral:rRNA from 1 species